CGUAGUCAACCUACCUUAUGGACGAGGAUAAUCUCGGGAAACUGAGGAUAAUACUCGAUAGACCAUCAUUCCUGGAAUGGUUGGUGGUUGAAAUGAUUCGUCGCCAUAGGAUGGGACUGCGGCCUAUCAGCUUGUUGGCGAGGUAAUGGCUCACCAAGGCGAUUACAGGUACGGGCUCUGAGAGGAGAAGCCUGGAGAUGGGUACUGAGACACGGACCCAGGCCCUAUGGGGCGCAGCAGGCGAGAAAACUUUGCAAUGUGCGAAAGCACGACAAGGUUAAUCCGAGUGAUUUCUGCUAAAGGAAUCUUUUGCUAGUUCUAAAAAUACUAGUGAAUAAGGGGUGGGCAAGUUCUGGUGUCAGCCGCCGCGGUAAAACCAACACCUCAAGUGGUCAGGAGGAUUAUUGGGCCUAAAGCAUCCGUAGCCGGCUCUUCAAGUUUUCGGUUAAAUCUAUACGCUUAACGUAUAGGCUGCCAAAAAUACUGUAGAGCUAGGGAGUGGGAGAGGUAGACGGUACUCGGUAGGAAGGGGUAAAAUCUUUUGAUCUAUUGAUGACCACCUGUGGCGAAGGCGGUCUACCAGAACAUGUUCGACGGUGAGGGAUGAAAGCUGGGGGAGCAAACCGGAUUAGAUACCCGGGUAGUCCCAGCUGUAAACGAUGCAGACUCGAUGAUGUAUUAGCAUAUAGCUGAUACAGUGUCGCAGGGAAGCCGUUAAGUCUGCCGCCUGGGAAGUACGUACGCAAGUAUGAAACUUAAAGGAAUUGGC
rnacentral:rRNA from 1 species